CAGGCAGAAGGGAAAACUACUGUGUGUGACAGGAAGAUGGACUUCCCCAACCUUCAGUGUUCUCAAUCUCUUGUCUAUUAACAUGUGUUUGAAACAUUAUGCAUUCAAAGCAAACAUCUGGGAGGAAGAUGGGAGAAGCCUUCUUGCUCCUGUUCUACAGAAGUAAUUGAAGUUCAUGACAUUCAAGCUCAUUCAUCAGUAAAUGAAUUUGGGUCAUGCUUU
rnacentral:lncRNA from 1 species